UGAGCUGGAAUUUUUCAUCUGAAAGCAGAAGACAGCAAACUGGUAUUUCCAAGCUUGAACCGCCACAGGGGAGCUUCCCUGGUUCGAUACAUUUCCAUUUGCCUCGGUCCAAGAAUCAAAGAGCAAGCAUAUUCUGUCAGAUUUUACACAAUGCCACAAUCAAUUGAAGACAAAAUUAAAUCUGUUAACUCCACCAGAUGUGUGGGGAUUCAAAUCUGGAACAAAAGCUCGAUCAAAAUUUUAACUAGUCCUGAGAUCUACAUUCACAGCGGCAAAGUACACACGUCACCUACCUGCUCCAUUAACCAGGGAGAGAAAGGAGUGUGCGUCUUCAAAAAGCGUUCAUACUCAUUGUGGGGCGCUGUCGGGGUGCUGAGCUACCGUUUUGGUAACACCCAGAUCUCCGUGCUGGUUUCCAACCCUUACAACUACAACAUGUACAGCAUUGAGUAUGCUGUGUAUGUCCCCGACAAAAUCACUCCGACUGACUGCAACUUAUAUAAAAAAAUGUACAACGAUCUAAAUCAAUCGGAUUCCUUUUUCAAGGCAUCAUUGGGAAAGUGUAACUCAUGUCAGACGUUCAAAAUAGGUGACAUACAUUUUUCAGCCUCUAUCUCUAAUAAGCAUAAAGCUAUUCUCAAAAUGGAUAUCAGAGAAAAAUAAGUUAACUCUCUGUUAAAGCUGUAACAGUUAGUGACGGUUACACAUCUCAGCAUAGUGAAGCCACUUUUCCAGUGUUACCGACAAUUUUAUUCGAUCACCCCAGCUUUCAUAUCAUCUUUAAUCUUUCUGUUAUUGUUUCUUGUUUCUUUCUUUAAUGUAAUGUACUAACAUGACUGCAGUGGCAAUAGCCAAAAAUUCAUUCAGUUUCUAUUAACUCAAUGCUUGAAAAGUAAAUAUUUUAAUUUCUUCUGUUAUGAAGAACAGUUUAAGGGUUUAUUGGUAACUUGACAGCUUAUAAUCACAUUUCCAGCAAUAAGGAAACAAUGUUCCAACUGUACUGCUUGUUUUUUUUUGCUUAAUGAUUUAUGGAUAAUUCACAGAAAGAACUUUUUGAUACCACACCGAUGAAACCAUUCAGCUCACACAAAAGAGACUGUACUAUGUGGUAGGAAUAAAGGAUUGGC